UCUUUUUAUGUUUCUUUUCUAGAAGCUGUUUUUUUCCAUUCUGGAAGCUGCCAAACUGCCCUGCUAGUUGUCUUCUCUCACAGAGCAUCAGUCAGUCAGCUACCCAGAGAUCAACUAGACAUGAUGGCUCUUUAUGACUGUAUAUACCCUGGGUCUGGGUCUCUCUAAAUCUGCUCUGAGGAAUACAACCCUGCUCAUUGUUACCAUGGUGACAACACACCCACACACACUCACUAGCAAACCUCACUGCCCAGUGUGUGUGUGUGUGGUAUUUGUUGUUUCAGGUCUGAAAAAAAAAAGACAAGUAAAGCGUUCUUCUGUUGGUGGUGUUUUGGAACAGAGGUGUUCUGGAACAGAGGUGUUCUGGAACAGAGUUGUUCCGGAACAGAGUUGUUCUGGAACAGAGGUGUUCUGAACCAUCUUGUACAGUGUCUCUAGGUGAAGCCUAGACAUGACAUGUCACUGUCUGUAUUGACAGUCAUAUUACAUAUUAUAUUACAAUCUAAGAGGUUUUGUGUUUGUUGAUAUAAAAGUGAACAGAUAAUGCUGAAUAUAA